rnacentral:tRNA from 1 species
GGGCCCGUGGCGUAACCUGGAUAGCGUAAUAGGCUUCGGACCUGUUGGUGGGGGUUCAAAUCCUCCCGGGCUCA